GUGCCUGCAAAAGGCUGUAAACCGGGCUUUUAAUCAGCGGGUCACAGGUUCGAAUCCUGUCGGGCUCACCA
rnacentral:tRNA from 1 species